GGCGGUUCUUGGGUGACACCCCCCAGAAUCCGGCUCCCUCCUCUCUGGUUCCAGGUGCAUCACCAGAGAACUGCA
rfam:Myotis lucifugus cont2.27968, whole genome shotgun sequence.